rnacentral:rRNA from 1 species
AGAGGUCUCAAGCGUUGUUUGGAAUCACUGGGCGUAAAGCGUGCGUAGGCUGUUUCGUAAGUCGUGUGUGAAAGGCGCGGGCUCAACCCGCGGACGGCACAUGAUACUGCGAGACUAGAGUAAUGGAGGGGGAACCGGAAUUCUCGGUGUAGCAGUGAAAUGCGUAGAUAUCGAGAGGAACACUCGUGGCGAAGGCGGGUUCCUGGACAUUAACUGACGCUGAGGCACGAAGGCCAGGGGAGCGAAAGGGAUUAGAUACCCCUGUAGUCCUGGCAGUAAACGGUGCACGCUUGGUGUGCGGGGAAUCGACCCCCUGCGUGCCGGAGCUAACGCGUUAAGCGUGCCGCCUGGGGAGUACGGUCGCAAGAUUA